AAAUUUCAACAACGGAUCUCUUGGUUCUGGCAUCGAUGAAGAACGCAGAGAAAUGCGAUAAGUAAUGUGAAUUGCAGAAUUCAGUGAACCAUCGAAUCUUUGAACGCACAUCUGCGCCCUUUGGUAUUUCGAAGGGCAUGCCUGUUCUGAGCGUCAUU
rnacentral:rRNA from 1 species